CUGGUCGGUGUGGAAGUGGGAGCCUGUUGACUUUAACAGCCCAGCUGUUCCUGUCUUCCGGACAGCAGUCAAAAUAUCUUUUAGAGCAGAGGGCGAACAGUCUGACGUUCUAGUGGGAGUCCUCCAGGACACCGUAGAAGAGCGGUGUGUUAUGGCAAAGGGCAACUUCAGAGUUUGAUGGCA
rnacentral:lncRNA from 1 species